AUGGGGGAGGAGUUUGAGGAGUACGCGGAGAAGGCCAAGACGCUGCCGGACACCACCACCAACGAGAGCAAGAUCUGCCUCUAA
rnacentral:rRNA from 1 species